rnacentral:misc_RNA from 1 species
CAGGCUUGUAUGGCUGAACUUGGUGUUCCACUCACCAAAGAACUUGGUUUUCAUCAGUACGAUGUGUACGGGAACUUAUUUGGUCUGCUAGCAUCACAUCCAAUAGCGCCAUUGGUAACAUUGCACCAUCUUGAUGUGGUGGAGCCAAUCUUUCCCAAUGUGACUCGAGUGCAAGCUUUACGGCGCCUUACACUUCCAAUGAAGCUUGACUCGGCUGGUCUUAUGCAACAAUCCAUUUGCUAUG